CUCUGGGGUGAUUCUGGUCUUUACUGUCAGCAGUCCAGUCCUCUAGCAAGCCACCAACAUGAAUCAGCAGCUGCAGUCCUGUCCACUCGGCAAUCACCACUCACGAAUCAGCAAUGGCGAAGACGUAACCAUUCCAGAAGGAACCAUGAGGCUCCCCAACUAGUCGGAGUUCGAGGAAGUGCCAAGAUGCUGCUGGAAUAUCAGGAGGAGCUCUUCGGUGAGUUACUCUCUAUGAAGUCAUGACAAGUGACGAUCAGCAACUCGAUGCAAGGCAAACCAGUACAUGAGCAUCACCAGCAAAGACUAGCGAAGCAAAGCAAGGAGAACCAGUGUGAUAGCUUCCUCCCACUGUCUGUGGGGUUUAAACAUCACCUGUGUCUGCUUCAGCAAAACAUUGUGACCCGAGUCUCCAAAGAAGCCAGAAAUCUGCACUUCACACAGCCCUCCAUUCAGGUGGACCCUGUUCAUCCUCUAGACGCUGGAUGGCUACAUGUGGCUCCUGAAUGAGGGACCUGAAAACGGGGGACCUGCUGAGAAAUGCUGUCUUGGUUGGAGGGCUCCACAGAAAACAGAAAAAGUAAAAGUAUCCUGCACGGAUGCUGAAGGAGCAUGCUAGCUGCCAGAGUGGUUAAUGAGGCAUGCUGAUGCUGGGACAAAGAAUGAGGCUGAUCGUGAGCUUGCAUAUUUCCCUGACAAUGAUGGUAGGGAAGCUGUAUAGGGGCGAUGUCCCUGGUCUCCCCCCUCCCCAUUUUACAUCCAACGAUAUGGGAAGGGCCAGAAGUUGUGGUAAUGAUAAACAACACUAAGUUGAUGGAUAUGGCUGCUGGAGGAAAUUUCACUAUCAGUAGAGAAAUUAAUGACCAAGGAUUGGGAGCUGGUGUCUCCACAGGCUUUUCAAAGCAGAACUCUACUGGAGGUCCGAGAGUAUCUCCUACUGCAUUGCAGGGCAAAGAUCUUGACUCAUGCAAAGGCUGUACUGUAGCAUUUUCCUCACUGUGGGAUGAGGGAGUGCACAAAUGUCACAAUUCCCUGGAAAACAUGUGUGGGAAUAAGCCUGUGCUUUAUCAGCCUCAUGGGACUCACCUCAAGAUUUUGGUCUACAUUUGGUUGGAAUAUAGAGGAGUGGCUAGUAUGACUAAUUAUGCUACUGUCUUUCCUUCUCCACCUAUCCUCCCCUCAUCAGCGUUGUCUGCUGGACUCUGGUAGACUCACACAGGUUAUUAGCAACAACAUGUAUGGAAGUUGGGUGCUGCCGUAGAUGAUCUGAGUGGUCAGCCUGAAAGAGCAAGUCCAGCUUGGAUGAAAGGGCCUAUUGCAGCAUUUGUUUGCAUGCCUCCUGUCCUAUCAGUAGGAAAUAUUAGCAUUAGUCUACAUUCUGAGAAUAAUACUUUUGAUGUGUCUGGUGUUGGCUGUAAUUUGACUAAUUAUGUUUUAAAAGCCUGUUCUAAGCGUUCUGUAAUGAUUUUACAUCAACCUGCUUUUGUGAUGGUUCCUGUAAAUAUUACUGAAGAUUGGUUUGAUGACAAGGGUUUAUAGGUAAUUGAGGAGUUAACAAAGGCGUUGGCCAGGCCUAAAUGCAUGAUUGGUUAAUUAUAGGAGGUGAUUACUUUAAUGGCCACUGCUACUACAGCUGCUAUUACCUUAUCCCAAAGUGUUCAAACAGCUCAUUUUGUAUAUAAUUUAUCCAUAAAUGUUUCCAUGGCAUUGCAUACCCAGGAAGAUACAGAUGAUAUGAUGUAACAGAAAUUAGAUGCCUUACUUGUGGUUAAUUUCUUGGGGAAAGAAAUUCAGGGGUUUAAAAUACAAAUUAUAUUUAGAUGUCAUGUUAGUUAUCAAUGGAUCUGCAUUAUGCCAAAAAUGUUUAAUGAUACUAUAUAUAGUUGGGAGAGUGUGCAAUCCCACUUGCAAGGUGUGGAAUCAUGCCAAUGUAUCUUUGGGCUUAUUAAAGUUACACCAAGUAGUUAUUAAUUUAAAAAAACAGAGCCUCUACAUUUUGAUGCAUCUCAAACAGCUAGAGAUCUGCUAGGACAGUUGCAGGGUUGGUUUCCUUCUUGGCCUGCACUCCUACAACACAGCAUCGCUGUUGCUGUCAGACUUGGUAUAGUAUUGCUCCUCUAGUUACUGCUGCCAAGUGUCCUUUGGUAUACGUUGUCACAAUUUUCACAUCUGAAGAGCCAGAUACAUGGCCUCCAUCUUAAAACCCCCUCCUCUCCAGUUUGACUGAAUACGACCAGUGACGGGUAAGAGUGUUCUUCAGCUCCUUCAACCUAAGACAGAACAUACAUCAGUGCUGUGUAUGCUUCCACGACGGGUAAGAAGGAGCAAUGUAGACACCAACCUAAGACAGGUAUAUUCAUCUGGAGCAUCCUUUAUUAAGUAAAAUAAAAAAGAGGGGAUCUGUGGAGAGCCAGAGUCCUGCCAUGAGAGCAGUGUGUAUUGCCAAGGCUAUGAGAACGGUCUGUGUAGCCAAGGUUAGAGAGUAGUGUGUAUAGCCAAGAGGAACUCCUAUCUAUGUUUAGUCUGUAGAGAAACUUUCUCAAGAAGAGCUUUGUCUGCUGAAGUGCUUAUAAGCUGGAGCUGCAGAAAUGUACUUUGAUCCCUGAUCAGAACCUUGCCUUGACUUCAUGCUUCUCUCACCUCCUACCCUUUUCAUUUCCAGCCCC
rnacentral:lncRNA from 1 species